rnacentral:pre_miRNA from 1 species
CAAAUACUCCCUCCGUCCGGAAAUACUUGUCAUCAAAAUGGAUAAAAGGAAAUGUAUCUAGACGUAUUUUAGUUUUAGAUACAUCUCUUUUUAUCCAUUUUGAUGACCAGUAUUUUUGGACGGAGGGAGUAGAAA